UUCCGAACUCAGAAGUGAAACGAAAUAGCGCCGAUGGUAGUGUGGGGUUUCCCCAUGUGAGAGUAGGACAUCGCCAGGC
rnacentral:rRNA from 3 species